UGCUGUUUCUACAAAUUGUUUUGAGAAAUGCGCAUACUGUUUUGUAAAUGCCAACAAUGACUUGGGAAAUGCACCAAAAGUGACUGAGAAAAACUAACAUAGCAUAAAUCAUCUCUGGUGUAUCUAUUUGUUUGCCUGUAUGAAAAGUAUACACAUUUACAGCUUUGUUUCUGCUAGCUUGCAGGAAUUGUAACUUGCAUAAAUGGUUGAAGACAACUUAUUGGCCUUCAUGAGACUCAGAUAAAUGGUUGCAGAGAGGAUCACACCUGUCGACAACAAACAAAGGUUUAAGAACUACUGAAUUUUUAGUCAGAAAUGACCACACCGCCUGGCUGAAGUACCAGUCUCCAUAUGCAAGUCAACAAAGCAGAGAGGAAACACCCAACUGACAACAUGUGAGUCUCAAUUUCAACCUGUGACUGGGAAGACUACAACCAUCCUGAGCAAAGUCUGAACUCAGUGACUUGUGACUCUCAACCCAGAAUAAGAAUCCUUUUAUCACCGGUUUUUCUUCUACAAUAG